rnacentral:rRNA from 1 species
AUACGGAGGAUGCAAGCGUUAUCCGGAUUCAUUGGGUUUAAAGGGUGCGUAGGCGGGCUAUUAAGUCAGUGGUGAAAUCCUGCAGCUUAACUGCAGAACUGCCGUUGAUACUGAUAGUCUUGAGUUUGGUUAAGGUAGGCGGAAUGUGUAAUGUAGCGGUGAAAUGCUUAGAUAUUACACAGAACACCAAUUGCGUAGGCAGCUUACUGAGCCGACACUGACGCUGAGGCACGAAAGCGUGGGGAUC